GGGGGAAAUAAUCUUUUGAGUCAUAUGUUGGCAUAGAUGUGAACUGAGUGAUCUGAAAGUGUCAGGAGCUCUUAUUGUAUAGAGCUAAUACAAAGGGAAAGCAGUUCUGUGAGCUGUCAGAUAGUAGGGUGGUUUCCAGAAGGUGUCAAGUUGACAAUUUCCAGAACUGUCCAAUGUCCAUUAUCCCACCUCUGCUGCCAUUCCCACUGUCCAUCAAGAUCCCAAAGACAGGGACCACAUGACAACAUUCUUAGCCUGACAAUGUGUCAUAUAUAUUAAUGUGUCUCUCAUAUAGAUGUAGGUGUAGAUGUAGAUGCAGAUGUACAGUAGAUGUAGAGAUAGAGAGAUGUGACAAUGUGUCAUAUAUCUUUAGCAUCAAAAAAGGAUGGCAGAACAGGAGCUGACAGAAUCUGAGCCAUGCUCACAGCCCUUUAGGAGUUCCAUAUGAGGAUCACUGUAAAAACAAGACAGCCUAAGGAUAAGUAGCAUUCCUGGGAUAGCUCCAACUGAUUUCAAUGAGGCAUCUUCAUGAGAAUAUCCUAGCCAUUUGUCCCCCAAGUUACCUAGUGGGAGAGAAGUAUUAUUUGAAUGUUCAGUCUUGAACACUGAAGUGUUAUGAUAUUAAUGAGACCAGUCUAUUAAACCCCAUAGGUAUCUGGAAAAGAUAACAUGGAAAAAAGAAAUAAAAAAAGGAUUUAAGCUUCAACUGACUUUGGACACCCAGCUGGAUAUUUGAAGGAGGGCUUUAAACACUCGUGUUAAUACAUGGCUUGAUCGAUGUGGAAGAGGAUGGCUCCAAGCUGUUUUGGCCUUUAAAGUUAAGUGCUACCUCUUUUAUCUGCACUGAGAAAUAGAUCAGGCAACUGGCCAGGUGAUAACCUUCUGUACUGACACAUUUCAUAUACUGAAUGGCAAGAACAAGAGGCAGAUAUUAGCAACUUUAUCUUUGAUGAGUUCAGUAAUCUUGUCAUGAUAGGCUUCUGUGGGUUGCCUGAAGUCACCUUUGGGCCAAAUUGAAGAAUGCUUUAAAACACUCAGGAACAGCUCCACCAGAUGGCGCUCUGAAAAUGCGAUAGCAGCAGAGGAGUUGUGUUUCAUACGGCUGGGCAUGGAAAUUAUUCAGAUGUGUUUCUGAACAGGAGUGCUCCUUACAGCACCCUGAAAAAAGUCUGAAUCAUUUCUGAAGUCCUACUGCUUCCUUGCCACUGCCACCAUUACAAUGCAAGGUCAAUAAUACAGCCUUCCCUGUGUUCAGUGAGAUUCACAUCAUAUUUGUAGUUCACAGAACUGUGUCCUACUCACUUACCGUUCAGUUUCAUUAUUCUAUCUGAUUUGUAAGGCAGGAAGCACUCUUGCCUUUGUAAAGUAUUGGGAUAGUUCAAUUAUUGGAGCAAGGGAGAAAACUGAUAUUUGCGCUUGGUACAUUUGAUGACCUCUAUUUCAAUUUUUCUAAGUUUCCGAUUGAAGCACUAUGGAGAUUGUGAAUUAAAGAUUGUGAAUCAGGAAAAGCCAGUAUUCCCUUCACUUUAUGCUGAAGCACAACUGUUAAGCCAUUCACUGACCAGGGUGCUGUUCUCAGGCACAGGUUUGGCAAAGAGCAGUUCUAGUGCUGCAACGACAAGUACCCAAGGCUAACAUAGAGGACAUGGAAGAUAAUAUGAAUAAGUUAAACGAUCUCAAAGUACAGAGCGUGGAGAGGGGGUUCUUCAAUACUUGGAUAAGAGAAUUUUACUAAACAGCACUAAUUUCUGUAGUUUCUGAGUAUAGGAAACAACAGAACUGCCUCAGUGAAAUCCCAUUACUGCCACUGGAUGAAAGUUCUUUAAAUCCUAAGAUGGAAAAAAGUCUGAAAUAGACCUCUACUAAAAUACCAACUAUAAUAACUUAUAGUUGACUUAUAAAUGUGUGAGAAAGUCUGUGAAAGGAUGAAUGCCCGGCUACCAAUCUCAGAUUGCCUGAGGAAAACUGCAGAAGUCAGAACAUAGUACAAAGGAGAAAUGGAAGCCAGCAGAAAAUUAUGCCAGCUCAAAGUAGUGCUCCCUGCAUGCACUUCCAACCCCAACUCUGUCUCAGCAAUGAAACAUCUGCCUGCGAUGGAAUGCAGCUCAGCAGAUGGACUACUCAGGAAGCCUGCGCCAGCAGAAGUAGGAAAGUACUUCAGAGCCAAAAAAUAAUGCCGAGGUCGCAUUCGCAGCUGACUGGGGCUGAGAUGAGGACAACUUCAUGCAUUCCUCUCCUUCCAGUUCUGAUCAAACUGACAGGCAAUUAAAGAGAUUCCCAUAUGGAUCUCUUUUGAAUGACUUGGUUAAGUUCAACAAUACUAGCAAUCAACA